CUGCUUCCCUGACGAGUGGCGGACGGGUGAGUAAUGUCUGGGAAACUGCCUGAUGGAGGGGGAUAACUACUGGAAACGGUAGCUAAUACCGCAUAACGUCGCAAGACCAAAGAGGGGGACCUUCGGGCCUCUUGCCAUCGGAUGUGCCCAGAUGGGAUUAGCUAGUAGGUGGGGUAACGGCUCACCUAGGCGACGAUCCCUAGCUGGUCUGAGAGGAUGACCAGCCACACUGGAACUGAGACACGGUCCAGACUCCUACGGGAGGCAGCAGUGGGGAAUAUUGCACAAUGGGCGCAAGCCUGAUGCAGCCAUGCCGCGUGUAUGAAGAAGGCCUUCGGGUUGUAAAGUACUUUCAGCGGAGAGGAAGGUGAUGAGGUUAAUAACCUUGUCAAUUGACGUUACCCGCAGAAGAAGCACCGGUCUAACUCCGUGCCAGCAGCCGCGGUAAUACGGGAGGGUGCAAGCGUUAAUCGGUAUUUACUGGGCGUAAAGCGCACGCGGCGGUCUGUCAAGUCGGAUGUGAAAUCCCCGGGCUCAACCUGGGAACUGCAUUCGAAACUGGCAGGCUAGAGUCUUGUAGAGGG
rnacentral:rRNA from 1 species